AUUGAACGCUGGCGGCAGGCCUAACACAUGCAAGUCGAACGAGUGGCGGACGGGUGAGUAAUGUCUGGGGAUCUGCCCGAUGGAGGGGGAUAACUACUGGAAACGGUAGCUAAUACCGCAUACCAUCGGAUGUACCCAUAUGGGAUUAGCUAGUAGGUGUGGUAACGGCUCACCUAGGCGACGAUCCCUAGCUGGUCUGAGAGGAUGAUCAGCCACACUGGGACUGAGACACGGUCCAGACGCCUACGGGAGGCAGCAGUGGGGAAUAUUGCACAAUGGGCGCAAGCCUGAUGCAGCCAUGCCGCGUGUAUGAAGAAGGCCUUAGGGUUGUAAAGUACUUUCAGCGGGGAGGCGUUACUCGCAGAAGAAGCACCGGCUAACUCCGUGCCAGCAGCCGCGGUAAUAC
rnacentral:rRNA from 1 species